rnacentral:snoRNA from 1 species
AAGACUAUACUUCACAGGAUCAUUUCUGUAGUCAGUCUUCUUUAUUUUUCAUUGCAAAAUGAAAAAUUUCGCGCCCGCGAUGAGGAGGUAUAUCGUUUUAUCUGUAGCGUGAGGUUUUGAACUUUGUCUUUUAAGUUUGACUUUGGGACAAUGUUUCAUCGAUGAUCGCUCGGUUAUAACGGAUAAAACGACUUCUGAGUGGA